CAGUAGCCACGGUAAAACGUGGGUUGCAAGCGUUGUCCGGAUUUAUUGGGCGUAAAGCGAGCGCAGGUGGUUUAAUAGGUCUGAUGUGAAAGCCCACGGCUCAACCGUGGAGGGUCAUUGGAAACUGUUAAACUUGAGUGCAGGAGAGAAAAGUGGAAUUCCUAGUGUAGCGGUGAAAUGCGUAGAGAUUAGGAGGAACACCAGUGGCGAAGGCGGCCUUUUGGCCUGUAACUGACACUGAGGCGCGAAAGCGUGGGGAGCAAACAGGAUUAGAUACCCGGGUAGUCCCUGUCUCUUAUAC
rnacentral:rRNA from 1 species